AAAACACUUCCUUACCCUGUUUAGAGUCAAUGUAUGUCAUUAAGCUGUGUUAAAUUCUAAGUUUGGGGUAAACCCCAUAAGUAUCAAAAACAAAGGUGAGUACGAAAAAAAAAAUAAGAAAAAUAAAAUCGACCAUAAUUUUUUUGAGAAAAUGAAAUAUAGUCGAUGGUUCGAAAGAAGCACUCACUUAAGGAAGAGCACUCAGUUGAAAAAAAGAAGAGAAUAUCAAAGAAAAAUUAAGCAAUUGAAAAAGAAAAGAAUAAAACACAAUGAAAAGAAUAUUAACAUUGACUCUGAACCCAAAACCACUUGUUUUCCUUUUUGUUUGU
rnacentral:lncRNA from 1 species